CUCAGGCAGGGGCGGACAUAUCACUUGUUCAGCCGGUUCUGCUGCACAGGGGCCCAGCGUGUUAGGGGGCCCACCUAGUAUCCCAGGUCACAGCCUGGGCCUCACAGACUGGGCCCCUGCAGGGCCCUCUGCCAGUACUUCAUACUCUAUGUUGCAGCAACAGGUCCCGGACCUGCCGCUGACAGCAGUAAUUUACCUCGGCCGGAAGAGACGGACAGGCCAGGGGCUGAUGGGAACAGACGUGCCCCGCACAGGCACGCACGUCUGUUCCAAGCCCCUGAUGUCACGUGUCAUGGCCUCUGACCCCGGCAGAAGCGACAGGAGCAGCAAACCCUCCCGCCUCACACGGCCGCAUCGCUGAGCAGAUAAGAGGAUGAGGAUCUACUGACAAAUUAAGGAACCAAUGAUGUCCGGGUGUCAGACUCUGCAGAGAAGAUGGAAGAAAUCCUGGUGUCUGGACCAGAUGAAGAAGAAAAGUAAAGACAACAGAGAAGACGUCACUCAGGUCACAUGUUAUUUCCUUAGUAAAGAGGAUCAGAUGGACUCUGCCUCCAAAAAUGAGAAACUUGGUAGCCAAGAAUGCACCAAAUGCCAUCUGUGAUCAGGCUUGUUACACCGAUGUCUGGAGAAAUGGCGCCACUCCCUGAAUUUUCCACAAUCACACUGGAUAUUGUCAAAGUUUCACAACGGAAGGAAGUAGAGGAAAAUUCUUUGGACGGGUGGAUGGUGAGAGUGGUGUUCCCAGAAAGUUCAACUCCCAGCCGAAUUAUUAUUAAUCUGAUAAUCCAGAAAAUCUAGUUUGGUUUUGACUCAAUAUUAAUUCUGCCGCGUAGUAAAUGAUGUAGAUUUUUGCUUUUGUUCCAUUUUUUCCUCCUCCAGCUCCGCACAUAACCUGCACAGAACACAGGUCUGCAAACAAUCAGUUUUAUUGUAUGAAAUAUGUGUUUUAUGAUUCAGCAAGUGUUACUGUUCUUUUUGGCAUA